AAUACGAAGGUGGCAAGCGUUGUUCGGAUUUACUGGGCGUACAGGGAGCGUAGGCGGUUAGGUAAGCCCUUCGGGAAAUCUCCCGGCUUAACCGGGAAAGGUCGGGGGGGACUGCCUGGCUAGAGGACGGGAGAGGAGCGCGGAAUUCCCGGUGUAGCGGUGAAAUGCGUAGAGAUCGGGAGGAAGGCCGGUGGCGAAGGCGGCGCUCUGGAACGUUCCUGACGCUGAGGCUCGAAAGCGUGGGGAGCAAACAG
rnacentral:rRNA from 1 species